rnacentral:rRNA from 1 species
UACGUAGGUGGCGAGCGUUGUCCGGAUUUACUGGGCGUAAAGGGCGUGCAGGCGGUCUGUUAAGUUCAGGGUGAAAGCUCCCGGCUCAACUGGGAGAGGUCCUUGGAUACUGGCGGACUUGAGGGAGGUAGAGGAGAGUGGAAUUCCCGGUGUAGUGGUGAAAUGCGUAGAUAUCGGGAGGAACACCAGUGGCGAAGGCGACUUCCUGGCCUGUUCUUGACGCUGAGGCGCGAAAGCUAGGGGAGCAAACGGG